rnacentral:rRNA from 1 species
UACGUAGGGCGCAAGCGUUGUCCGGAAUUAUUGGGCGUAAAGAGCUCGUAGGCGGCUCGUCGCGUCGGAAGUGAAAGCCCAUGGCUUAACUGUGGGUCUGCUUUCGAUACGGGCGGGCUAGAGGCAGGUAGGGGAGAACGGAAUUCCCGGUGUAGCGGUGAAAUGCGCAGAUAUCGGGAGGAACACCGGUGGCGAAGGCGGUUCUCUGGGCCUGUACUGACGCUGAGGAGCGAAAGCGUGGGGAGCGAACAGG